AUUUGACCACUAUUCACUGCAUUAUUGUGAUCUUGAAUGGUGGAUUCUUUUCUUGGGUGCAUUAUACAUGUUUGCUUCAUGCAGGAUUAACAGACUGAACUCUGCUAGUUAUCUUUCUUUAAUAAGGCAAUAAUAAUGUAAAACUGAUUAUUACUGAGAAUGAAUCUUCUUCGUCUUCUUCGACAACAGUUUGUACGCUUCUUCUUUUGUUACUAGUCCUACAUGGCUUUAUCAGAGCCCUGAUCAAUCUCAAGGUUGGAUUUUUACUCUUUUUU